rnacentral:rRNA from 1 species
UAAAAACCCCGACUUCGGAAGGGGUGUAUUUAUUAGAUACAAAACCAAUGCCCUUCGGGGCUCUUUGGUGAUUCAUGAUAACUAUACGAAUCGCACGGCCUUGCGCCGGCGAUGGUUCAUUCAAAUUUCUUCCCUAUCAACUUUCGAUGUUUGGGUAUUGGCCAAACAUGGUUGCAACGGGUAACGGAGGGUUAGGGCUCGACCCCGGAGAAGGAGCCUGAGAAACGGCUACUACAUCCAAGGAAGGCAGCAGGCGCGCAAAUUACCCAAUCCCGACUCGGGGAGGUAGUGACAAUAAAUACUGAUACAGGGCCCUUUCGGGCCUUGUAAUUGGAAUGAGUACAAUUUAAAUCCCUUAACGAGGAACAAUUGGAUGGCAAGUCUGGUGCCAGCAGCCACGGUAAUUCCUGCUCCAUUAGCGUGUAUUAAAGUUUUUUUGGUUAAAUAGAUAAUUAUAGUAGUAUCAAAAUUACAGAAAAACAACCACAAUAAAAAAUUGCCAAGAAAAAUAAAAAACUAAAUAAAAUAUAUUUAUUUUGAGUAAAAUGCGGUGUGAACAAAAAUACACAAGAGAAA